CGCGUUAAGUAGACCGCCUGGGGAGUACGGUCGCAAGAUUAAAACUCAAAUGAAUUGACGGGGGCCCGCACAAGCGGUGGAGCAUGUGGUUUAAUUCGAUGCAACGCGAAGAACCUUACCUACUCUUGACAUCUAGAGAAGCCAGCGGAGACGCAGGUGUGCCUUCGGGAACUCUAAGACAGGUGCUGCAUGGCUGUCGUCAGCUCGUGUUGUGAAAUGUUGG
rnacentral:rRNA from 1 species